GACGAACGCUGGCGGCGUGCCUAAUACAUGCAAGUAGGACGAGUUGCGAACGGGUGAGUAACGCGUGGUAACCUACCUAUUAGAGGGGGAUAACUAUUGGAAACGGUAGCUAAUACCGCAUACCAUCGGAUGUGCCCAGAUGGGAUUCGCUAGUAGGUGGGGUAACGGCUCACCUAGGCGACGAUCCCUAGCUGGGCGGAGAGGAUGACCAGCCACACGGGAACUGAGACACGGUCCAGACGCCUACGGGAGGCAGCAGUGGGGAAUAUUGCACAAUGGGCGCAAGCCUGAUACAGCCAUGCCGCGUGUAUGAAGAAGGCCUUCGGGUUGUAAAGUACUUUCAGCGGGGAGGCGUUACCCGCAGAAGAAGCACCGGCUAACUACGUGCCAGCAGCCGCGGUAAUAC
rnacentral:rRNA from 1 species